GGACUGCCAUGUUGCGUUUGGGUCUCCAAUAAUUUUGGACACAUCCUCGAAUUUCAAUUUUGGCAGCUAUGACCAAGAUAAAGGGCAGACCUUUCUGGGGUGAGCUGUUGUGAUAUGACCGCCUGCGUUUCUGAGGUUAGUAACUGUCCGAAAAGCAGCACCGGAACGUUUCUUGGACCUAAAACCGCUCAGCUGACUCUGAUUUAACUACAUAAAACCACGCCCAGCUGGCUAAACUUCGCCACGUGCAAAUCGCACUCAUCCAGUUUAAAUGACCAUCCAGUUCAGUUAAUGUGCUCAUGAAGCCAAACCAACAUGUUCAAAUGGACAUCCAACCAGAGGAUUUGCCUUGUUCAGCAAUUUAUCCAUGUUUGAAAUAAUACUAUGCUGAUUCGUUGGAGUAAUCAACUUGUGGUUAUGCAGAUGUCUUAUGCAAAAGUUGGCAAUACAGGGGCUCCCUCUAGCGUUUGAGAAACCUGGAAGACAUUACAGAAUGGUAAUUCUCCUCGCCACAAGUUCUCUGACAUUAAGAAAUCAGAAGGUAGGCUAGAGCAGGGUUUCUCAACCUGCAGGCCGUGGGCCACCAGUGAGCUGUGAAGGUCUGUGGGCUUGUACUCUGGGAAUGCAGUAUUUCAUAGUGGGCAAGUAACAUCACUAUAAGUCAGUGGGAAAAAGUCAUGUAAUUAUUAAAAUUUUAAAAAUCAAA
ensembl:lncRNA